rnacentral:rRNA from 1 species
UAACGCUGAGAUACGAUGUCGAGCUACUACGGUAGUGAAGUCAUUGAUGCCAUGCUUCCAGGAAAAGCCUCUAAGCUUCAGAUUGUAAGGAAUCGUACCCCAAACCGACACAGGUGGUCGGGUAGAGAAUACCAAGGCGCUUGAGAGAACUCGGGUGAAGGAACUAGGCAAAAUGGUACCGUAACUUCGGGAGAAGGUACGCUCUUAUCAGUGAAGUCCCUUGCGGAUGGAGCAGACGAGAGUCGCAGAUACCAGGUGGCUGCAACUGUUUAUUAAAAACACAGCACUGUGCAAAAUCGUAAGAUGACGUAUACGGUGUGACGCCUGCCCGGUGCCGGAAGGUUAAUUGAUGGGGUUAGACUUCGGUCGAAGCUCUUGAUCGAAGCCCCGGUAAACGGCGGCCGUAACUAUAACGGUCCUAAGGUAGCGAAAUUCCUUGUCGGGUAAGUUCCGACCUGCACGAAUGGCGUAAUGAUGGCCACGCUGUCUCCACCCGAGACUCAGUGAAAUUGAAAUCGCUGUGAAGAUGCAGUGUACCCGCGGCUAGACGGAAAGACCCCGUGAACCUUUACUACAGCUUGGCACUGAACAUUGAACCUACAUGUGUAGGAUAGGUGGGAGACUAUGAAAUUGCGUCGCUAGAUGUGAUGGAGUCGUCCUUGAAAUACCACCCUUGUAGUUUUGAUGUUCUAACGUUGGUCCCUGAAUCGGGAUUACGGACAGUGCCUGGUGGGUAGUUUGACUGGGGCGGUCUCCUCCCAAAGAGUAACGGAGGAGCACGAAGGUGGGCUAAACACGGUUGGACAUCGUGUGGUUAGUGCAAUGGCAUAAGCCCGCUUGACUGCGAGAAUGACAAUUCGAGCAGGUGCGAAAGCAGGUCAUAGUGAUCCGGUGGUUCUGAAUGGAAGGGCCAUCGCUCAACGGAUAAAAGGUACUCCGGGGAUAACAGGCUGAUACCGCCCAAGAGUUCAUAUCGACGGCGGUGUUUGGCACCUCGAUGUCGGCUCAUCACAUCCUGGGGCUGAAGUCGGUCCCAAGGGUAUGGCUGUUCGCCAUUUAAAGUGGUACGCGAGCUGGGUUUAGAACGUCGUGAGACAGUUCGGUCCCUAUCUGCCGUGGGCGUUGGAAAAUUGAAAGGGGCUGCUCCUAGUACGAGAGGACCGGAGUGGACGAACCUCUGGUGUUCGGGUUGUCAUGCCAAUGGCAUUGCCCGGUAGCUAAUUCGGAAUCGAUAACCGCUGAAAGCAUCUAAGCGGGAAGCGAGCCUUGAGAUGAGUUUUCCCUGGCACUAUAAGUGUCCUAAAGGGUUGUCGUAGACUACGACGUUGAUAGGCAGGGUGUGUAAGUGCUGCGAGGCAUUGAGCUAACCUGUACUAAUUGCCCGUGAGGCCUUAACCAUACAACACCCAAGGGGUUU